GGGGUUGUGGGCUAGUUUGGCUAUGCUUCAAGGUUUGGGACCUUGUGACCCCGGUUCAAAUCCGGGCAACCCCA
rnacentral:tRNA from 1 species